CAGUAUGGCUGCUAAACCAUGUGACCAAUAUAUUUGUCUUGAAUAAAUUCUGAGUCUAGGUCACAACAUGAACUUGCACAGCAAUUUGUAUAUCUGUAGCACAAAUGGUUAUGGAGAAGACCAUAUAAAAAUAUUGUGUGAAAUCAUUUGCCAAAAUCAAGAUGGCUACCAGUCCAUGUGACCUAUGACCAUGUGAUUGACAAC